rnacentral:tRNA from 1 species
GCACUGGCACUACUGACAGCGCGUCUGCCUUCUAAGCAGUCGGUCGAUGGUUCGAAUCCAUCAGGGGCG